GACGAACGCUGGCGGCGUGCUUAACACAUGCAAGUCCAACGAGUGGCGAACGGGUGAGUAACACGUGGGUGAUCUGCCUUGCACUUCGGGAUAAGCUUGGGAAACUGGGUCUAAUACCGGAUAGUGUAAGAUGAGAUCGCGACCUAUCAGCUUGUCGGUGGGGUAAUGGCUACCAAGGCGCGACGGGUAGCCGGCCUGAGAGGAUGUACGGCCAGAUUGGGACUGCGAUACGACCCAGACUCCUACGGGGGGCAGCAGUGAGGAAUAUGUCACAAGUGGCGGAAGCCUGAUGCAGGGAGGCCGCGUGGGUGAUGAAGGCAUUCGUGUUGUAGACUGCAUUCGACAGGGGCGCGGUACGUGGAUGAGAACCACCGGCUAACUACGUGGCAGCAGCCGCGGUAAUAC
rnacentral:rRNA from 1 species